rnacentral:rRNA from 1 species
AAGUCGAACGAGAGAAGAGAAGCUUGCUUUUCUGAUCUAGUGGCGGACGGGUGAGUAACACGUGAGCAAUCUGCCUUUCAGAGGGGGAUACCGAUUGGAAACGAUCGUUAAUACCGCAUAACAUAAUUGAACCGCAUGAUUUGAUUAUCAAAGAUUUAUCGCUGAAAGAUGAGCUCGCGUCUGAUUAGCUAGUUGGUAAGGUAACGGCUUACCAAGGCGACGAUCAGUAGCCGGACUGAGAGGUUGAUCGGCCACAUUGGGACUGAGACACGGCCCAGACUCCUACGGGAGGCAGCAGUGGGGAAUAUUGCACAAUGGAGGAAACUCUGAUGCAGCGAUGCCGCGUGAGGGAAGAAGGUUUUAGGAUUGUAAACCUCUGUCUUCAGGGACGAAAAAAUGACGGUACCUGAGGAGGAAGCUCCGGCUAACUACGUGCCAGCAGCCGCGGUAAUACGUAGGGAGCGAGCGUUGUCCGGAAUUACUGGGUGUAAAGGGAGCGUAGGCGGGAUCGCAAGUCAGAUGUGAAAACUAUGGGCUUAACCCAUAAACUGCAUUUGAAACUGUGGUUCUUGAGUGAAGUAGAGGUAAGCGGAAUUCCUAGUGUAGCGGUGAAAUGCGUAGAUAUUAGGAGGAACAUCAGUGGCGAAGGCGGCUUACUGGGCUUUAACUGACGCUGAGGCUCGAAAGCGUGGGGAGCAAGCAGGAUUAGAUACCCUGGUAGUCCACGCCGUAAACGAUGAUUACUAGGUGUGGGGGGACUGACCCCUUCCGUGCCGCAGCAAACGCAAUAAGUAAUCCACCUGGGGAGUACGACCGCAAGGUUGAAACUCAAAGGAAUUGACGGGGG